GUUUUACUUGAUCAAUGCGUGUUCUCAAUUUGCGUAUAAGAUUAAUAUGGAGUAUUGAUGAUCAUUGACUAUUGAGACCAAGAGUCAAGGUUUGCGGUUGGGUAAUUAAUGAUAUGAUUUAUGAAUUUUAUUAAACCAUAACCUGCAAUUAAUGAUUUGACCUCUGUUAGAAGCAAUGUAGUUGCGGGAUUCAUUUUAUGCAUCUACAUUUGUUUGUUUGCAUGUACAGUUGUUUUAGCCGAUACAAAAAUAUGUCGAAUUAAUUACUUGCCAUCCCUCAGAUGUCAUGUGCUUCAAAGUUUUGAUAAGGACCAAUCAUGCAUAUAUCUAUAUAUCAAUAUUGCACAAAAGAAGAUAAAUUAAAUCUUUAUGUAGUUAUAUCAGAAGUAGAAUUGUUUGAUGAGGCCACCCUCUUGUCUGGUAGGUAGUCCUUGAAUUACGAAAUAUGGCGUGAGCGCAUUGACUUCGUUCAUCAAAUCUAUCAAGAACUAAAGCAGAAAUCUGUAAUAAGGCCAUUGAUCUCCUUGUACGUAACAUGGGAUCAUCACUCGUGCAUCAUCGAGUACCAUUACUAGCUAGCUUCAAAUUUUUUGCAAACUUGGUUUCACGGACAACACAUUCAUGAUGCACACACUUAGGGUAGUCUCACUACUCUUUACUUGUCCAUCUACUUGGACAUUUGUAGAAGUAGUGGUUCAAAUUGUUUAUUGAUCUCUUUGUAAAGGCCAUUCAUUUUUGACCGCAAACAAUGUAUCCAUUUAAUUUUUUCAUAAAUCAAAAACCGUGAAAGAAAUGGUUGAUGCAUACAAAAGCAUAAUGAUACGAUAAAGACAGGCAUGUUUUAUCCUUAAACAACAUCUAGUUAAUGUAUGUGUUAGUGACAAAACAUUACCUGCUUAUAUCUACCAACUAUAUAAGUCGAACCUUACAUUGUUGUUAGGUAAUGUCUACUACUAGUACGUUAAUUAGAUCUUUUAAUAAGAACAAAUCAUAGAGUCUCUAUCGUAUCAUAAUGGUUAAAUAACCUGCAUUUUUAUCAGAAAAGAGAUGUUCAACUUCUACCUGUACUAUUUACAUUAUUGUUGGACUGCCCCGCCUAAAUUCAUUUCUCAUAAAUUGAAACCCAUGAUUUCGUGCAUGAAGAAAUCUAUCCAAACUUUUGACAGUCACUUCAAUAAUUGAGUAAUAUUUUUUCCUAAGUUUUAGCAAUUCGUUGGUCUUCUGUAUUUAUUCGAGUAACGAUAUAAUUACAGUUUUUUUUUUUUUUUGACGGAAGCUUGUAUAACAUGUAUUUAUAAUUAUUAUUUUAGAUCUUAAAAAAAAACAUAUAAUUAUUAUUUUUUUACAUCAAUUAAACGUCAAAAUUUGGUGAUUUUUAAUGAUAUUUUCUCUUUAAUUUUCACAGAAUCCAAUCUUGUAAUUCUCAUGCAAAUCUUAUACCAAAGUUACCCAAAAUCUUUCUUUCCUAUUUUGUCACAUGUUUUUAAUAUGAACCUUUUUUUUCAAAAAUCUUUACAGAUUCACUGACAAUGGCUGAUGAUGGCCGAGAAGGUGACGGCGACACCGCCGCCAGUGAAAUCGCUAUCCACCGCGAAAUCAAACAAGGCGGCGAUUGAAUCGAUUUCAUCAGCUCUCAACCAGACGUGAUCCUCCAACACAUCCUCUCCUUUAUUCCAACCAAAUCCGUCUUAUCCAAACGAUGGAAGCAUAUCUGUCUACUUCGAUUCCUUCACACCGACAUUGAUAAGCCAAACCAGAUUGUGGCGCCAUAUCUCCAUUGUUUGGUUUAGUUGAUGUCUCCUCUUUAUCCGAAGCAAAAUUGAAAAUUUGGUUUGGCGGAGCUGAACAAUUGAAGGCAGGUUUUCUUCAACACAUGGUGCUAAAGUUGCAGAACGUUGGGAAACUUACUAUUGGGGAAGUCUUUCUUCACCCAUUCUUGCAUUAUCUUAAGCUUAGACAGAACUCGCUAUAUUGCAGUGUCACUUGAGAUUAUGGUUGAUGGACAAGUUUUAUCGUUUUAGGAGCUCUUAGAUCAGUGAUUCACCAAUCUGUUCUUCCUGGUAUAACAAGGAGAAGGAUCUUGACAGCUACUUGAAUUCGCCAGGCUUGAAUGCUGAUCAAUGUUGGAGAUCAAAUGACGUGAUCUUUUUAGGUGUUUCGGGAAAAGACGCAAUGCCAAAGCUCAUGCCUUUGUUUGUGGAAUUUGUGCUCAAAGAUACUGGAGACACGUAGGAAGUGAGCUUAAUGCAUGAAACAAGGUUUAAAGAACUGCAUCAGGUGGCUUCAACACUUUCUCGCAGCAAUAAUGUGAUUAAAAUUAAGUUAAUUCUAUGCUUCAUAGGGGGUUUAGCGAGUCUAGGAACACGUGGAAUGUGUUUACAAUGAAUGUCACUGACAUAACCUCUUGGGGAAGUUGUAUAGAUUCAAUUUCUGUAAGGAAUUGGUCAAUUAUAGCCAUUGCUUGAAGUGCUUUUGUAUAUAUGAAUUGCUCAUGUGUUUCCUAUGGUUUUCGUGAAUUAGUCUUAACUAAUA